rnacentral:lncRNA from 1 species
AUGGGGGGACCCCGGCCCCCUCCCAGCCCCGCCCGGGAGGCGAGCGGUCUCCCGGGAGGGCUUCUCCCCGCAUCGCAGCUCCAAGCUCCUGCCCUCCCUCCCGCUUCCAGGGCAAACCCUCCUGUGGCCGCCCACAUUCCCCAGGCCCGGGGGCUGGAGCUCAUCCUUCUGAAGCUCAGCACCUGAGGCCUGCGGUUUCCUUGGGGCCGCCGGACCCACACACCGCCCAGAACGUCUUUUCAAGCCAGCUUCAAGCCCUCGCCUGCCCUCUGGCCCUGCCGCCCUGAACUCUCACGGGUGCACAGAUUUCAGCAGAUAGGCAGAGCCCACAAGACCAGUCCCAGCUCACAGAGGCAGCGGGCUCGGGACUCAGGCAGGUUAGAUGGAACGAGAGCUGCUGGCAGCUUUCACAUCAGUGCUGCGAGCCCCCCGGGGCCACGGCCCUGCAUGGUGGACGCUGCCCAAGGCCGCCGCGGGGCCCCACAGUUUGCAGGGUACGAUGCCCUGGAGCCAAGCGCCUGCUCCCCACCCAGCUCUAGUCACUUGGCCCUCUGCUGACAGUGGUCUCUUGUGAUGGCCCGCCAGCCCUACAAACCUAACAGCUUCUCUCUGGGGCUNNNNNNNNNNNNNNNNNNNNNNNNNNNNNNNNNNNNNNNNNNNNNNNNNNNNNNNNNNNNAACAUGAAGCCCUGCGUGCACCAUCCCGCAUGUUUCACAGGAUGAGAAGGCAGAUCGGCCGGGGCAGGAAGCCCAGCGAGGGGAUCCAGACCAGAACGUUUGGAUGUCCAGGCCUCUCAAUCGCGGCUGCUCCUGAAGCCGCCCACGGCCCUCGAGAGCGGUGGGCUCCUAAGGAGCAGACGGGGGUGGGAGGGGGGGUGGCUGGGGGCCUGCACCUCCCAGGCCCCUGGGAGAAAGGAAACGCGCGAGCCCACAGACUCACCUGGCCAAAGUCUCGUCUCCCGCCGGCCUUCCCGAAGCACUGGAGAGGGAGGCCGGGUCAGCCCAGAACACGGUCUGCUCUAAGGGGAUGGGCCAGUGGCCCAAGAGACCUGGGAGAGCCCGGGGGCCUCCAGAGGACCCGGGCGGAGCGAGGAGGAGCAGACAGCCCGGGAUGGGGCCCGGCCCCAGGGGCAGAGCCUCUCCAGCCCACCCUAGGAGGAGGAGCCCCCGGCAGCACCCCACCUGCCCGGCCUGCUGUGUGCCCAAGAACCGUCCACUGCGGGCCCUGGGCCGGACACCUGGGGCAGCCCUGCUGGGCUUGGCAGUGACGUGCAGGAUCUAACAGCGGGUGUGGGGGACGGGAGCAGCCUGGGAUCCCCACGGAAAGGGGCACAGGUCCCGCGGGUGGAAGCAGGCUCGGGGGCCGCCUGAAAUGGGGAAAAGGAGGCGUCCCCCGGGGCUCAGCUGCGGUCCGGAGGAAAAGGGGUGGGGACACGCCCUCCGCUCCCAGCUUCUCUCCCCCGCGGAGCCCUCGGCCCCCGCCUUCCUCCCAUUGUACAGUCGGGGAAAUUGAAGUCUACAUCGCAGAGGCCGCGCCCCGGCGCAGACAUCUCCCCUCGCUGGCCCGGGGCCCUCCCAUCCCCUGGGCACCUGGAGCCAAGCCCCUCGAGGGCCGCCACCGUUCCCGCCAGUCCCGCCUCGGCUCCGGGCGGCCCCGGCGGGCCGCCAGGACUGUCCCCACCCCGGCCUCCCCCGGGGCGGGCCCCCAGGCCGGUUCCCGCCAC